rnacentral:rRNA from 1 species
CUGAGAGGGUGAUCGGCCACAUUGGGACUGAGAUACGGCCCAGACUCCUACGGGAGGCAGCAGUAGGGAAUUUUGCGCAAUGGACGAAAGUCUGACGCAGCAACGCCGUGUGAGGGAUGAAGCAUUUCGGUGUGUAAACCUCUGUCGUUGGUGACUAAAGUUUUCAGGAGUGGAAAGCCUGGGAUUGAAUGUAGCCAAGAAGGAAGCACUGGCUAACUCUGUGCCAGCAGCCGCGGUAAUACAGGGAGUGCAAGCGUUGUUCGGAAUUACUGGGCGUAAAGGGAGCGUAGGCGGAGCUACAAGUCAGGGGUUAAAGAUCCGGGCUCAACCUGGAAAGUGCCUUUGAGACUGUAGUUCUUGAGUAUGGCAGAGGCUAGCGGAAUUACCGGUGUAGCGGUGGAAUGCGUAGAUAUCGGUAAGAACACCAGAGGCGAAGGCGGCUAGCUGGGCCAAUACUGACGCUGAGGCUCGAAAGUGUGGGGAGCAAACAGGAUUAGAUACCCUGGUAGUCCACACCGUAAACUAUGAACACUAGAUGUCGGGGAGUUGAUUUCCCGGUGUCGGCGCUAACGCAAUAAGUGUUCCGCCUGGGGAGUACGCUCGCAAGGGUG